rnacentral:rRNA from 1 species
AAUAGAUACCCGGGUAGUCCACGCCGUAAACGAUGAGUGCUAAGUGUUGGGGGGUUUCCGCCCCUCAGUGCUGCAGCUAACGCAUUAAGCACUCCGCCUGGGGAGUACGGUCGCAAGACUGAAACUCAAAGGAAUUGACGGGGGCCCGCACAAGCGGUGGAGCAUGUGGUUUAAUUCGAAGCAACGCGAAGAACCUUACCAGGUCUUGACAUCCCGGUGACCACUAUGGAGACAUAGUUUCCCCUUCGGGGGCAACGGUGACAGGUGGUGCAUGGUUGUCGUCAGCUCGUGUCGUGAGAUGUUGGGUUAAGUCCCGCAACGAGCGCAACCCUUAUUCUUAGUUGCCAUCAUUCAGUUGGGCACUCUAAGGGGACUGCCGGUGAUAAACCGGAGGAAGGUGGGGAUGACGUCAAAUCAUCAUGCCCCUUAUGACCUGGGCUACACACGUGCUACAAUGGACGGUACAAACGGUUGCCAACCCGCGAGGGGGAGCUAAUCCGAUAAAACCGUUCUCAGUUCGGAUUGUAGGCUGCAACUCGCUACAUGAAGACC